AUUGAACGCUGGCGGCAGGCCUAACACAUGCAAGUCGAGCGGAUGAAGGGAGCUUGCUCCUGGAUUCAGCGGCGGACGGGUGAGUAAUGCCUAGGAAUCUGCCUGGUAGUGGGGGAUAACGUCCGGAAGCGGGCGCUAAUACCGCAUACGUCCUGAGGGAGAAAGUGGGGGAUCUUCGGACCUCACGCUAUCAGAUGAGCCUAGGUCGGAUUAGCUAGUCGGUGGGGUAAAGGCCUACCAAGGCGACGAUCCGUAACUGGUCUGAGAGGAUGAUCAGUCACACUGGAACUGAGACACGGUCCAGACUCCUACGGGAGGCAGCAGUGGGGAAUAUUGGACAAUGGGCGAAAGCCUGAUCCAGCCAUGCCGCGUGUGUGAAGAAGGUCUUCGGAUUGUAAAGCACUUUAAGUUGGGAGGAAGGGCAGUAAGUUAAUACCUUGCUGUUUUGACGUUACCAACAGAAUAAGCACCGGCUAACUUCGUG
rnacentral:rRNA from 1 species